AAUUAGUUUUUUUUUUGUGAAAUUUUGGAGUCGUAGCUUAGAAUCGUAUGCCGUUAUCGUUGAUUUAUCGUUACGUACAGAUAUAAAUUAAAUAAAUUUAUAUAUUCUGUAUCUUCCCGACUUUCUUCACCCACAACAUUGAUACACCGCACAAACAUCAGCGGUAUCAGCUCAUAUUUUAUUCGGAUUUGGCACACAUUUCGGACGAAGCAUGCACUUCCUCUUGUUAAAGACCACAUUUGACGUGACACAUAUCAGUUUAUAGCAAACAAAUGUCCGAAUAUUAGCGUUUCCGUCUGUAUGAUGCAUGGAUGCCUCUUCUGGAUAAUCAAACCAUAACGAAACGAAAU